GUUGCAGGGUAUAGACCCGAAACCCGGUGAUCUAGCCAUGGGCAGGUUGAAGGUUGGGUAACACUAACUGGAGGACCGAACCGACUAAUGUUGAAAAAUUAGCGGAUGACCUGUGGCUGGGGGUGAAAGGCCAAUCAAACCGGGAGAUAGCUGGUUCUCCCCGAAAGCUAUUUAGGUAGCGCCUCGUGAAUUCAUCUCCGGGGGUAGAGCACUGUUUCGGCUAGGGGGCCAUCCCGGCUUACCAACCCGAUGCAAACUGCGAAUACCGGAGAAUGUUAUCACGGGAGACACACGGCGGGUGCUAACGUCCGUCGUGAAGAGGGAAACAACCCAGACCGCCAGCUAAGGUCCCAAAGUCAUGGUUAAGUGGGAAACGAUGUGGGAAGGCCCAGACAGCCAGGAUGUUGGCUUAGAAGCAGCCAUCAUUUAAAGAAAGCGUAAUAGCUCACUGGUCGAGUCGGCCUGCGCGGAAGAUGUAACGGGGCUAAACCAUGCACCGAAGCUGCGGCAGCGAACGUAUCACCCAAGACAACUUUACGGAGUUGACGAUUGACGGAGCGAAGCGACGUCAAAGCGUUCAUUAAAGUCGAGUUGGCUUAGGGAUACGUUCGUUGGGUAGGGGAGCGUUCUGUAAGCCUGUGAAGGUGUGUCGUGAGGCAUGCUGGAGGUAUCAGAAGUGCGAAUGCUGACAUAAGUAACGAUAAAGCGGGUGAAAAGCCCGCUCGCCGGAAGACCAAGGGUUCCUGUCCAACGUUAAUCGGGGCAGGGUGAGUCGACCCCUAAGGCGAGGCCGAAAGGCGUAGUCGAUGGGAAACGGGUUAAUAUUCCCGUACUUGGUGUUACUGCGAAGGGGGGACGGAGAAGGCUAUGUUGGCCGGGCGACGGUUGUCCCGGUUUAAGCGUGUAGGUGUGUGUUCCAGGUAAAUCCGGUU
rnacentral:rRNA from 2 species